AUAUCCUACAGACCUCAUCAAAACCCGGUUGAUCAUGCAGAACAUACUGGAACCAUCGUACAGGGGGCUCCUCCAUGCUUUUUCUACUAUUUACCAACAGGAAGGGUUCCUUGCCCUUUAUCGAGGGGUUUCCCUCACUGUUGUAGGCUCAGAGCCCCUACCUCCCACACAGUGGAGGAGUAGAUGUCCAUUUCUCAGGAGCAGUGGACUGCUUCCGGCAGAUAGUGAAGGCCCAGGGGGUCCUGGGGCUCUGGAAUGGAUUGACAGCCAAUUUACUGAAGAUAGUUCCAUAUUUUGGAAUUAUGUUUAGCACCUUUGAGUUCUGCAAGAGAAUCUGUCUUUAUCAAAAUGGUUACAU
rnacentral:sRNA from 1 species